UGGGGAAUUUUGGACAAUGGGGGCAACCCUGAUCCAGCAAUGCCGCGUGUGUGAAGAAGGCCUUCGGGUUGUAAAGCACUUUUGUCCGGAAAGAAAACGCCGUGGUUAAUACCCGUGGCGGAUGACGGUACCGGAAGAAUAAGCGCCGGCUAACUACGUGCCAGCAGCCGCGGUAAUACGUAGGGUGCAAGCGUUAAUCGGAAUUACUGGGCGUAAAGCGUGCGCAGGCGGUCCGCUAAGACAGAUGUGAAAUCCCCGGGCUUAACCUGGGAACUGCAUUUGUGACUGGCGGGCUAGAGUAUGGCAGAGGGGGGUAGAAUUCCACGUGUAGCAGUGAAAUGCGUAGAGAUAUGGAGGAAUACCGAUGGCGAAGGCAGCCCCCUGGGCCAAUACUGACGCUCAUGCACGAAAGCGUGGGGGAGCAAACAGGAUUAGAUACCCUGGUAGUCCACGCCCUAACGAUGUCAACUAGUUGUCGGGUCUUCAUUGACUUGGUAACGUAGCUAACGCGUGAAGUUGACCGCCU
rnacentral:rRNA from 1 species